UAUUGCCUACGGGGGGCAGCAGUAGGGAAUUUUCGUCAAUGGGCGCAAGCCUGAACGAGCGAUGCCGCGUGAGUGAAGAAGGCCUUCGGGUCGUAAAGCUCUGUUGCGGGGGAAAAAGAGCGGAGAGAGGAAAUGAACUCCGAUUGAUAUUACCCUUCGAGGAAGUCACGGCUAACUACGUGCCAGCAGCCGCGGUAAUACGUAGGUGGCGAGCGUUAUCCGGAAUGAUUGGGCGUAAAGGGUGCGUAGGCGGCCUGCUAAGUCUGGAGUGAAAGGUACCGGCUCAACCGGUACAGGCUCUGGAA
rnacentral:rRNA from 1 species